rnacentral:tRNA from 1 species
GGCCCCGUAGCUCAGCUGGAUAGAGCGACCGCCUCCUAAGCGGUAGGUCACAGGUUCGAAUCCUGUCGGGGUCGCCA